rnacentral:rRNA from 1 species
UACGGGGGGGGCAAGCGUUGUUCGGAAUUACUGGGCGUAAAGGGCGCGUAGGCGGUUCGCUAAGUUGGAUGUGAAAACUCUGGGCUCAACCCAGAGCCUGCAUCCAAAACUGGCGGGCUAGAGUUCUGGAGGGGGUAGCGGAAUUCCUGGUGUAGCGGUGAAAUGCGUAGAUAUUGCUCGGAAGGCCGGAGCCGAAGGGGCCCUACUGGUACGCAACUGACGCUGAGGCACGAAAGCGUGGGGAGCAAACAGG